CCUACGGGUGGCUGCAGUGGGGAAUAUUGCACAAUGGGCGCAAGCCUGAUGCAGCCAUGCCGCGUGUGUGAAGAAGGCCUUCGGGUUGUAAAGCACUUUCAGCGGGGAGGAAGGCGGUGAGGUUAAUAACCUCAUCGAUUGACGUUACCCGCAGAAGAAGCACCGGCUAACUCCGUGCCAGCAGCCGCGGUAAUACGGAGGGUGCAAGCGUUAAUCGGAAUUACUGGGCGUAAAGCGCACGCAGGCGGUCUGUCAAGUCGGAUGUGAAAUCCCCGGGCUCAACCUGGGAACUGCAUUCGAAACUGGCAGGCUAGAGUCUUGUAGAGGGGGGUAGAAUUCCAGGUGUAGCGGUGAAAUGCGUAGAGAUCUGGAGGAAUACCGGUGGCGAAGGCGGCCCCCUGGACAAAGACUGACGCUCUGGUGCGAAAGCGUGGGGAGCAAACAGGAUUAGAUACCCUUGUAGUC
rnacentral:rRNA from 1 species